rnacentral:rRNA from 1 species
GAUUAACGCUGGCGGCGUGCCUAACACAUGCAAGUCGAACGGCAGCAUGUCUGUAGCAAUACAGAUGAUGGCGAGUGGCGGACGGGUGAGUAAUACAUAAAUUAUCUGCCUUUCAGACGGGGACAACCUAGGGAAACUUGGGCUAAUACCCGAUACGAUUUUAGGGGAGCAUUCUCCUUUAAGGAAAACAAUUAGCUUGGCUGGAAGAUGAGUUUAUGCCUGAUUAGUUAGUUGGCGGAGUAAAAGCCCACCAAGACGAUGAUCAGUAGCUGGUCUGAGAGGACGAACAGCCACACUGGAACUGAGACACGGUCCAGACUCCUACGGGAGGCAGCAGUGAGGAAUUUUGCUCAAUGGGCGCAAGCCUGAAGCAGCGACGCCGCGUGAAUGACGAAGUCUUUCGGGAUGUAAAGUUCUGUCAACAGGGACAAUAAUGAUGGUACCUGUGGAGGAAGCACCGGCAAACUAUGUGCCAGCAGCCGCGGUAAUACAUAGGGUGCAAGCGUUAUCCGGAUUUACUGGGCGUAAAGCGUAUGUAGGCGGCAUUCUAAGUCAAACUUCAAAGCCCGGGGCUCAACCUCGGUUCGGGUUUGGGACUGGAAUGCUAGAGUUUGGGAGAGGAAAGCGGAACUAACAGUGUAGCGGUGAAAUGCGUAGAUAUUGUUAGGAACACCCGUGGCGAAGGCGGCUUUCUGGAUCAAUACUGACGCUGAGAUACGAAAGCGUGGGGAGCAAACAGGAUUAGAUACCCUGGUAGUCCACGCUGUAAACGAUGCACAUUAGGUAUAGGGGGUAUCGACUCCCUCUGUGCCGAAGCUAACGCGUUAAAUGUGCCGCCUGGGGAGUACGGUCGCAAGAUUAAAACUCAAAGGAAUUGACGGGGGCCCGCACAAGCAGUGGAUCAUGUGGUUUAAUUCGACGAUACCCGAAAAACCUUACCAGAACUUGACAUCUGGGAAAUUCUGUAGAAGUACAGAAGCGCCCGCAAGGGAAUCCCAAGACAGGUGGUGCAUGGUUGUCGUCAGCUCGUGUCGUGAGAUGUUAGGUUAAGUCCUGCAACGAGCGCAACCCUCGUGUUGUGUUGCUACAUUUAGUUGAGCACUCGCAACAGACUGCCCGUGGUAAACGGGAGGAAGGUGGGGAUGAUGUCAAAUCAUCAUGCCCUUUAUGUUCUGGGCUACACACAUGAUACAAUGGCAAGCACAAAGGGAAGCCAAGCCGCAAGGCGGAGCAAAUCUCAAAAAACUUGCCCCAGUUCAGAUUGCAGGCUGCAACUCGCCUGCAUGAAGAUGGAAUUGCUAGUAAACGCAGAUCAGCAUGCUGCGUUGAAUACGUUCCCGGGCCUUGUACACACCGCCCGUCACACCAUGAAAGCCGGAUAUAUCCGAAGUCAGUGAGCCAACCGCAAGGAGGCAGCUGCCUAAGAUAGAGUCGGUGAUUGGGGUG